GGCGGAUCCGUCGAGCGGUAGCUUGUGCUGUCUCACACAAUUCUACUUGUCCAGCCUACCAAGAGGCCAGAAGGCAGAACAUAUGCUGAUUAUGAAUCAGUGAAUGAGUGCAUGGAAGGAGUCUGUAAAAUGUAUGAAGAGCAUCUGAAGAGAAUGAAUCCCAACAGUCCAUCCAUUACAUAUGAUAUCAGCCAAUUGUUUGACUUCAUUGAUGACUUGGCAGACCUCAGCUGUCUUGUUUACCGUGCUGAUACUCAGACAUACCAACCGUACAAUAAAGACUGGAUAAAGGAGAAGAUCUAUGUCCUCCUUCGCAGGCAGGCCCAGCAAGCAAGCAAAUAAUGGGGGCACCAUCAUUACAUGGGUUUGGGGGAGGGUUUGGACAACAGGUGUGUACAGAGUGUGGUAGUGAACGUUUUGUAUUAUAGUCAUCCUGUUGCCAUCUUGUUAAACUCUUUAGCCAGGACUGAAUGUAUUGUUAGAGAUACAAGGAUUUUGUUGGAUUUGACUUUUUUUCAGUGUAAAUGGAGAAGAAAGUGCAACAUCUUCAGCUGAGUUUUCAUUUGUCUUUUUUCCUCUGGUUAGCUAAUGGUCCUACCUUGUUUGAACCCCUGGGGCUGUUCACAUUGUACUUCGCCACAUUCACUGUAUGUGCCCUUCUGUGGGGUUUCCAACAUUUAGUUAUGUCCUUGAGACGGUCUUAAUGGGGAAUAAAAAACUACCCUUUAGUUAAA